rnacentral:rRNA from 1 species
UACGUAGGGCGCAAGCGUUGUCCGGAAUUAUUGGGCGUAAAGAGCUCGUAGGCGGCCUGAUAAGUAGGGGGUGAAAUCCUGCGGCUUAACCGCAGGGCUGCCUUCUAAACUGUCAGGCUUGAGCACAGUAGAGGCAGGUGGAAUUCCCGGUGUAGCGGUGGAAUGCGUAGAGAUCGGGAAGAACAUCAGUGGCGAAGGCGGCCUGCUGGGCUGUUGCUGACGCUGAGGCGCGACAGCGUGGGGAGCAAACAGG